CUUGGCUAAGGUGUCUUGGCUAAGGUGUCUUGGCUAAUGUGUCUUGGCCAAUGUGUCUUGGCUAAUGUGUCUUGGCUAAUGUGUCUUCGCUAAUGUGUCUUGGCUAAGGUGUCUUGGCUAAGGUGUCUUGGCUAAUGUGUCUCGGUUAAUGUGUCUUGGCUAAUGUGUCUUGGCUAAGGUGUCUUGGCUAAGGUGUCUUGGCUAAUGUGUCUUGGCUAAGGUGUCUUGGCUAAGGUGUCUUGGCUAAGGUGUCUUGGCUAAUGUGUCUUGGCUAAUGUGUCUUGGCUAAAGUGUCUUGGCUAUGGUGUCUUGGCUAAGGUGUCUUGGCUAAUGUGUCUUGGCUAAUGUGUCUUGGCUAAGGUGUCUUGGCUAAGGUGUCAUGGCUAAUGUGUCUUGGCUAAUGUGUCUUGGCUAAGGUGUCUUGGCUAAGGUGUCUUGGCUAAGGUGUCUUGGCUAAGGUGUCUUGGCUAAGGUGUCUCGGCUUAUGUGUCUUGGCUAAUGUGUCUUGGCUAAUGUUUCUUGGCUAAUGUGUCUUGGCUAAGGUGUCUUGGCUAAUGUGUCUCGGCUAAUGUGUCUUGGCUAAGGUGUCUUGGCUAAUGUUUCUUGGCUAAUGUGUCUUGGCUAAGGUGUCUUGGCUAAGGUGUCUUGGCUAAUGUGUCUUGGCUAAUGUGUCUUGGCUAAGGUGUCUUGGCUAAGGUGUCAUGGCUAAUGUGUCUUGGCUAAUGUGUUUUGGCUAAUGUGUCUUGGCUAAUGUGUCUUGGCUAAGGUGUCUUGGCUAAGGUGUCUUGGCUAAUGUGUCUUGGCUAAUGUGUCUUGGCUAAUGUGUCUUGGCCUAGGUGUCUUGGCUAAUGUGUCUUGGCUAAUGUGUCUUGGCUAAGGUGUCUUGGCUAAUGUGUCUUGGCUAAUGUGUCUUGGCUAAGGUGUCUUGGCUAAUGUGUCUUGGCUAAUGUGUCUUGGCUAAGGUGUCUUGGCUAAGGUGUCUUGGCUAAGGUGUCUUGGCUAAGGUGUCUUGGCUAAUGUGUCUUGGCUAAGGUGUCUUGGCUAAGGUGUCUUGGCUAAUGUGUCUUGGCUAAAGUGUCUUGGCUAAGGUGUCUUGGCUAAGGUGUCUUGGCUAAGGUGUCUUGGCUAAUGUGUCUUGGCUAAGGUGUCUUGGCUAAUGUGUCUUGGCUAAUGUGUCUUGGCUAAGGUGUCUUGGCUAAUGUGUCUUGGCUAAUGUGUCUUGGCUAAGGUGUCUUGGCUAAUGUGUCUUGGCUAAUGUGUCUUGGCUAAUGUGUCUUGGCUAAGGUGUCUUCGCUAAUGUGUCUUGGCUAAGGUGUCUUGGCUAAGGUGUCUUGGCUAAUGUGUCUCGGCUAAUGUGUCUUGGCUAAUGUGUCUUGGCUAAGGUGUCUUGGCUAAGGUGUCUUGGCUAAGGUGUCUCGGCUAAUGUGUCUUGGCUAAUGUGUCUUGGCUAAGGUGUCUUGGCUAAUGUGUCUUGGCUAAUGUGUCUUGGCUAAUGUGUCUUGGCUAAGGUGUCUUGGCUAAAGUAUCUUGGCUAAGGUGUCUUGGCUAAGGUGUCUUGGCUAAGGUGUCUUGGCUAAUGUGUCUUGGCUAAGGUGUCUUGGAUAAUGUGUCUUGGCUAAGGUGUCUUGGCUAAUGUGUCUUGGCUAAGGUGUCUUGGCUAAUGUGUCUUGGCUAAGGUGUCUUGGCUAAGGUGUCUUGGCUAAUGUGUCUUGGCUAAGGUGUCUUGGCUAAUGUGUCUUGGCUAAUGUGUCUUGGCUAAGGUGUCUCGGCUAAUGUGUCUUGGCUAAUGUGUCUUGGCUAAUGUGUCUUGGCUAAGGUGUCUUGGCUAAGGUGUCUUGGCUAAGGUGUCUUGGCUAAGGUGUCUUGGCUAAUGUGUCUUGGCCAAAGUGUCUUGGCUAAGGUGUCUUGGCUAAUGUGUCUUGGCUAAGGUGUCUUGGCUAAUGUGUCUUGGCUAAGGUGUCUUGGCUAAUGUGUCUUGGCUAAUGUGUCUUGGCUAAGGUGUCUCGGCUAAGGUGUCUUGGCUAAUGUGUCUUGGCUAAUGUGUCUUGGCUAAGGUGUCUUGGCUAAGGUGUCUUGGCUAAUGUGUCUUGGCUAAGGUGUCUUGGCUAAGGUGUCUUGGCUAAGGUGUCUCGGCUA